rnacentral:lncRNA from 1 species
AUGUUGGGCUGUUUUCAUCACUUUGGCUCAACUAGAAUCUUGAAAUCUUGGUCAAGCUUUCUGAGAGAAUCAGGAAUCCCAUCUCUGACCUGUAUGACUUUAACACCUAUAUGUCCUUGGAUAACGGAGAUCGUCUUUCAAGGUGAGACCACAGGCAAGUAUGAAUCCUUUAAAAGAGAAGGCACCCUGGACCAGUGAUAAACUUCUAGCAACACCAAAGGAUGGAAGACACACUGACAACUGGAAAGAACUUUGAUUCAAAGACAUUAGGAGGAAUGGAUCAUGUAAGAUUAAUUGCCAAUCAUAUUAACUUCAUAUAUAGCAAAGUACAUUCACAUGCACAUAGGAAUACAUAUGCAUCCACCACAACAUAUCUAGAACACGAACAGAUUUCACAAUGACAUUAGGG